UGGAUUAGUGGCGAACGGGUGAGUAACACGUGAGUAACCUGCCCUUAACUCUGGGAUAAGCCUGGGAAACUGGGUCUAAUACCGGAUAUGACUCCUCAUCGCAUGGUGGGGGGUGGAAAGCUUUUUGUGGUUUUGGAUGGACUCGCGGCCUAUCAGCUUGUUGGUGAGGUAAUGGCUCACCAAGGCGACGACGGGUAGCCGGCCUGAGAGGGUGACCGGCCACACUGGGACUGAGACACGGCCCAGACUCCUACGGGAGGCAGCAGUGGGGAAUAUUGCACAAUGGGCGCAAGCCUGAUGCAGCGACGCCGCGUGAGGGAUGACGGCCUUCGGGUUGUAAACCUCUUUCAGUAGGGAAGAAGCGAAAGUGACGGUACCUGCAGAAGAAGCGCCGGCUAACUACGUGCCAGCAGCCGCGGUAAUACGUAGGGCGCAAGCGUUAUCCGGAAUUAUUGGGCGUAAAGAGCUCGUAGGCGGUUUGUCGCGUCUGCCGUGAAAGUCCGGGGCUCAACUCCGGAUCUGCGGUGGGUACGGGCAGACUAGAGUGAUGUAGGGGAGACUGGAAUUCCUGGUGUAGCGGUGAAAUGCGCAGAUAUCAGGAGGAACACCGAUGGCGAAGGCAGGUCUCUGGGCAUUAACUGACGCUGAGGAGCGAAAGCAUGGGGAGCGAACAGGAUUAGAUACCCUGGUAGUCCAUGCCGUAAACGUUGGGCACUAGGUGUGGGGGACAUUCCACGUUUUCCGCGCCGUAGCUAACGCAUUAAGUGCCCCGCCUGGGGAGUACGGCCGCAAGGCUAAACUCAAAGGAAUUGACGGGGGCCCGCACAAGCGGCGGAGCAUGCGGAUUAAUUCGAUGCACGCG
rnacentral:rRNA from 1 species